AUUGAACGCUGGCGGCAGGCUUAACACAUGCAAGUCGAGCGAGCGGCGGACGGGUGAGUAAUGUCGGGGCAACUGCGUGAUGGAGGGGGAUAACUACUGGAAACGGUAGAUAAUAGCGCAUAACACCAGAUGGGCCCAGAUGGGAUUAGCUAGUAGGGGGGGUAAUGGCUCACCAAGGCGACGCUCCCUAGCUGGUCUGAGAGGAUGACCAGCCACACUGGAACUGAGACACGGUCCAGACUCCGACGGGAGGCAGCAGUGGGGAAUAUUGCACAAUGGGCGCAAGCCUGAUGCAGCCAUGCCGCGUGUGUGAAGAAGGCCUUCGGGUUGUAAAGCACUUUCAGCGAGGAGGCGUUACUCGCAGAAGAAGCACCGGCUAACUCCGUGCCAGCAGCCGCGGUAAUUC
rnacentral:rRNA from 1 species